UGGGCAACCUGCCUCUAGCUCUGGGAUAACUCCGGGAAACCGGGGCUAAUACCGGAUAUGACCUCGAGCGGCAUCUAUCGAGGUGGAAAGUUUUUCGGCUAGAGAUGGGCCCGCGGCCUAUCAGCUUGUUGGUGAGGUAACGGCCCACCAAGGCGACGACGGGUAGCCGGCCUGAGAGGGCGACCGGCCACACUGGGACUGAGACACGGCCCAGACUCCUACGGGAGGCA
rnacentral:rRNA from 1 species